CUUCCUAGGUGGUGCUAUAGU
rnacentral:piRNA from 1 species